AGAGAGAGAGAGAGAGAGAGAGAGAGAGAGAGAGACAUAGAGAGAGAAAGAGGGGAGAGAGAGCUGGUGGAAAGAAUAUGGAUAGGUGAUGAAUAAAAGUAAAAACAGUCGAAGGUGGAUUGUUAAGGGGGAAGAGAGAGAGAAAGAGAGAGAGUACAACAUCAACAAAGAAAAUUAAAAAAAAAUAAAUGGAGUCGGGGAUGGGGCGG